rnacentral:rRNA from 1 species
UGGGGAAUAUUGGACAAUGGGCGAAAGCCUGAUCCAGCCAUGCCGCGUGUGUGAAGAAGGUCUUCGGAUUGUAAAGCACUUUAAGUUGGGAGGAAGGGCAGUAAGUUAAUACCUUGCUGCUUUGACGUUACCGACAGAAUAAGCACCGGCUAACUCUGUGCCAGCAGCCGCGGUAAUACAGAGGGUGCAAGCGUUAAUAGGAAUUACUGGGCGUAAAGCGCGCGUAGGUGGUUUGUUAAGUUGGAUGUGAAAGCCCCGGGCUCAACCUGGGAACUGCAUCCAAAACUGGCAAGCUAGAGUACGGUAGAGGGUGGUGGAAUUUCCUGUGUAGCGGUGAAAUGCGUAGAUAUAGGAAGGAACACCAGUGGCGAAGGCGACCACCUGGACUGAUACUGACACUGAGGUGCGAAAGCGUGGGGAGCAAACA